rnacentral:rRNA from 1 species
GUGAGGAAUUUUCCGCAAUGGGCGAAAGCCUGACGGAGCAAUGCCGCGUGAAGGAUGAAGGCCUAUGGGUUGUAAACUUCUUUUCUCAGAAAAGAAUUAUGACGGUAUCUGAGGAAUAAGCAUCGGCUAACUCUGUGCCAGCAGCCGCGGUAAGACAGAGGAUGCAAGCGUUAUCCGGCAUGAUUGGGCGUAAAGCGUCUGUAGGUUGUUUAAAAAGUAUUCUGUCAAAGAUUAGGGCUUAACCCUAGAUAGGCAGAAUAAACUUUUAAGCUAGAGUUUGGUAGAGGCAGAGGGAAUUCCCGGUGGAGCGGUGAAAUGCGUAGAUAUCGGGAGGAACACCAAAGGCGAAGGCACUCUGCUGGGCCAAUACUAACACUGAGAGACGAAAGCGAGGGGAGCAAAUGGGAUUAGAAACCCCAGUAGUCC